GGCGGGACACGUGGUAUCCUGUCUGAAUAUGGGGGGACCAUCCUCCAAGGCUAAAUACUCCUGACUGACCGAUAGUGAACCAGUACCGUGAGGGAAAGGCGAAAAGAACCCCGGCGAGGGGAGUGAAAAAGAACCUGAAACCGUGUACGUACAAGCAGUGGGAGCCUCUUUAUGGGGUGACUGCGUACCUUUUGUAUAAUGGGUCAGCGACUUAUAUUCUGUAGCAAGGUUAACCGUAUAGGGGAGCCGAAGGGAAACCGAGUCUUAACUGGGCGUUAAGUUGCAGGGUAUAGACCCGAAACCCGGUGAUCUAGCCAUGGGCAGGUUGAAGGUUGGGUAACACUAACUGGAGGACCGAACCGACUAAUGUUGAAAAAUUAGCGGAUGACCUGUGGCUGGGGGUGAAAGGCCAAUCAAACCGGGAGAUAGCUGGUUCUCCCCGAAAGCUAUUUAGGUAGCGCCUCGUGAACUCAUCUUCGGGGGUAGAGCACUGUUUCGGCUAGGGGGCCAUCCCGGCUUACCAACCCGAUGCAAACUACGAAUACCGAAGAAUGUUAUCACGGGAGACACACGGCGGGUGCUAACGUCCGUCGUGAAGAGGGAAACAACCCAGACCGCCAGCUAAGGUCCCAAAGUCAUGGUUAAGUGGGAAACGAUGUGGGAAGGCACAGACAGCCAGGAUGUUGGCUUAGAAGCAGCCAUCAUUUAAAGAAAGCGUAAUAGCUCACUGGUCGAGUCGGCCUGCGCGGAAGAUGUAACGGGGCUAAACCAUG
rnacentral:rRNA from 6 species